GAUGAACGCUGGCGGCGUGCUUAACACAUGCAAGUCGAACGGAAAGGCGCAAGCUUGCUUGGGUACUCGAGUGGCGAACGGGUGAGUAACACGUAGGUGAUCUGCCCUGCACUUCGGGAUAAGCCUGGGAAACUGAGUCUAGUACAGGAGAGGACGAUGGUUUGGAUGCCAUUGUGGAAGGUGUUUUCGGUGUGGGAUGAGCUCGCGGCCUGUCUGCUUGUUGGUGGGGUAAUGGCCUAGCAAGGCGUCGCCGGGUGGCCGGGGUGAGAGGGGGUAUGGGCACAUGGGGAGUGAGAUACGGGCCAGAGCAGUGCGGGAUGCAGCAGUGGGGGAGAUUGCAUAAUGCGGGCACGCCGGAUGCAGGGAGGCGGCGUGGGGGAUGACGGCCUCUGUGGUGAAAACUGCUGUCGCUAGGGAUGUGGCGGUUUUUUGACGGUACCUGGAGAAGAAGCACCGGCUAACUACGUG
rnacentral:rRNA from 1 species